UAGAACAAUGUAGGUUAAGGAAGUUGGCAAGUAAGAUCCUUAACUUCGGGAUAAGGAUUGGCUCUAAGGGCUGGGUCGGUCGGGCUGGGGUGCGAAGCUGGGCUCAAGCCGCGGCUGGGGGAGCAGUCGCUCUGUCUCCCUCCUCUCACCACCGUUGGAAGUUCAUUGUGCGACCCAUCUCGCGGUCUCUCGUACGUGGUCUUGCAAGGGGCUGUGUGCGGGUGUUCGUCAGGGUGGUGUCCGUCGGCUUGCCGAAGGCAGACCGUUGGAGUGUUGGGGAGAUCCUUCACGCGGAUGUCCCCAGCUAUGGUGCUCGCCGGCCCUGUUCAUGCUGGGUCUUUGGCGGGUCGCAUCGGCCGGCGCUUAGCAGCUGACUUAUAACUGGUGUGGACCAGGGGAAUCCGACUGUUUAAUUAAAACAAAGCAUCACGAAGGCCUGAGGUGGGUGUUGACGUGAUGUGAUUUCUGCCCGUUGCUCUGAAUGUCAAAGUGAAGAAAUUCAAUAAAGCGUGGCUCAACGGCAGGAGUAACAAUGACUCUCUUAAGGAGUCCUUAGCCUUAGUAAGGGAGAUAACGAGGUAACCCUCUAGCAGGGCUCUUCAAACCCUCCCUGUAUGUCACCUAUUUUCAGGUGUCGCUAACAAUGCAAACCAAACGGGAGUUACCUCGGUACUAGUCCGUAUGCAAAGAGAGUCCUGCAGAUGGUGACGGCUGUUGAUCGUUACCGGAAAGGCGGCAGUCGGUCCUGGAAUAUGGGGCUUUAGGUCAAGCAUGAAAAUGUAAGGGCAGUUCCAUCAGACUCAAUGAUUUGCUGAGGGCUCUUUUAAACGAAUCCUGACCUUGACAGGAAGCCAAUCAGAGAAUGAUGGCUCGAACGCAUCCCUGGCUUUGGCUGGGAGGGGGGAGUUAAGUCCUGGGAGACGGCUGAUGAAAGUGUACUACUGGCAUCAGUCUGAUCACAGAGCGGUUGUGGUGAAACGUUGAAACAUGCGUCCCCCGUAUACUUAGCUAACUCUAAACCGCGAAGGUUUGAAUCGAAUGCUGGCUAAGUGCGGGACACCACACAUUGUAGGUGGGGAGGUCUCCUCUACGCUCACUAAACUCGAGUGGGAGACUAAACCAAUUGGCUCCGCAGUGAUAGGGCAAUGCAUGGAACUGGAUCAUGCCCUACGAAGUGGGGAGAGGUAUCUCCAGAUUGUCUAGGGAGGGAGGCCUACAUCUGAUGUGGGUAGUACCACCCACUCCCAUUGAUUUGCUGCGGACCCAUAAAACGGACGGAAGAAGCCUAGGUUCCCACUGGGCAUGGAUCACUGAAUGUCAACAUGAUGAAAUUCAAAGGACCGUACCCACCUGUCGCGGUCGCACUCAAAUCACCCAAGCACAUUUGGUGUAUGCUAAUGAUGCGACGCUACCAUCUGUGGGAUUAUUACUGAACGCCUCUAAGUCAGAAUCCCCCCUAAACGUAACGAUACCAUAGCACCAUGGAUAUUCGGUUGGCCCAGGAUAGUCUGCCUCUUUUGGCAGGUGAGUAGAGCCGUUCGUGACGGGGUUGGGGUGCGGCCGGAUGAGUUUCCGCCCCUCUCCUGAUGUGCACCGCAUUUUGUGGGGAACCUGGUGCUAAAUCACUCGUAGACUACCUGAUUCUGGGUCAGGGUUUCAUACGUAACAGAGCAACUCACUCGCUGUGAUCUAUUGAAAGUCAGACCAAUAUCCAAGCUUU
rnacentral:ncRNA from 1 species